GUCGAACGCGUCUCCGUUAAUGAUUUUAGGUGCUUGCACUUGAAAGAUUUAACAUUGAGACGAGUGGCGAACUGGUGAGUAACACGUGGGUAACCUGCCCUUGAAGUAGGGGAUAACACUUGGAAACAGGUGCUAAUACCGUAUAACAACCAAAACCACCUGGUUUUGGUUUAAAAGACGGCUUCGGCUGUCACUUUAGGAUGGACCCGCGGCGUAUUAGCUUGUUGGUAAGGUAACGGCUUACCAAGGCGAUGAUACGUAGCCGACCUGAGAGGGUAAUCGGCCACAUUGGGACUGAGACACGGCCCAAACUCCUACGGGAGGCAGCAGUAGGGAAUCUUCCACAAUGGACGAAAGUCUGAUGGAGCAACGCCGCGUGAGUGAUGAAGGGUUUCGGCUCGUAAAACUCUGUUGUUGGAGAAGAACAGGUGUCAGAGUAACUGUUGACAUCUUGACGGUAUCCAACCAGAAAGCCACGGCUAACUACGUGCCAGCAGCCGCGGUAAUACGUAGGUGGCAAGCGUUGUCCGGAUUUAUUGGGCGUAAAGCGAGCGCAGGCGGUUUUUUAGGUCUGAUGUGAAAGCCUUCGGCUUAACCGGAGAAGUGCAUCGGAAACCGGGAGACUUGAGUGCAGAAGAGGACAGUGGAACUCCAUGUGUAGCGGUGAAAUGCGUAGAUAUAUGGAAGAACACCAGUGGCGAAGGCGGCUGUCUGGUCUGUAACUGACGCUGAGGCUCGAAAGCAUGGGUAGCGAACAGGAUUAGAUACCCUGGUAGUCCAUGCCGUAAACGAUGAGUGCUAAGUGUUG
rnacentral:rRNA from 2 species